GCCCGAAUGGCUCAGUGGUAAAGCGUCUCACUAGUAUCUCCGUUGUUUCAAGACUUCAAUCUUUGACAUGAUGGUUCCCGACAUGAGAAGAUCGCCAGUUCGAUUCUGGCUUUGGGCA